rnacentral:rRNA from 1 species
AACGCGAAGAACCUUACCAAGACUUGACAUCUUCUGCAAAGCUAUAGAGAUAUAGUGGAGGCUAUCAGAAUGACAGGUGGUGCAUGGUUGUCGUCAGCUCGUGUCGUGAGAUGUUGGGUUAAGUCCCGCAACGAGCGCAACCCCUGUCCUUAGUUACUAACAUUAAGUUGAGCACUCUAGGGAGACUGCCUACGCAAGUAGGAGGAAGGUGGGGAUGACGUCAAAUCAUCAUGCCCCUUAUGUCUUGGGCUACACACGUGCUACAAUGGCUGGUACAAAGGGCAGCGAACUAGCGAUAGUAAGCAAAUCCCAUAAAGCCAGUCUAAGUUCGGAUUGGAGUCUGCAACUCGACUCCAUGAAGCCGGAAUCACUAGUAAUCGCGAAUCAGAAUGUCGCGGUGAAUACGUUCCCGGGUCUUGUACACACCC